CCCCUCUGAAACAAGGAAGGGAGAGCAAUGCUGCAAACACCAGAUUUUGAGCUGCUGAGAAAGCGCCAUUGGAAGCCUGGACUCAGAAGAGCUGGCACAGAUGUAAAUGAGUCGAUGAAAAAGAAAAAUGAAGGCUGCUCUUUUGAACCCUGAGGAUUAAUCUGUUUGCCUGCAACAUAACUAGCUCCAAGGCAGGGAACGAGCCCAGUUUCUGAAAUGGUCACUUUCGUCAGACGUUCCAGCUGCGAAUAACAACAACCUGCUCCGAUUUGUAAUACCCUUUGUAGGUGAUUAUGGGAAACAAAAAAGAACUAAAUUCAAAGCAGGUUUUCAACUGGGGAGAAUCCAAAAAUGCUGACUGAGGAGGAGAACAAAGCCAGAUGGCAUCUGUUGGUAUUGUUACGGAUUAUGCAGUGUAAGGCAAGAGGAAACGAGCAGAGAAAAAGAACCAGUUUUGCCUCAAAUUUCCACUGUUGCCAGAUGGACAUGCUGGGGCAACUGCAAAAUGAUCAUCGUGUGCUUCGUAUUUCCUCUCAGAACAUACUUCGAGAUAUGCAUUAGCCCAGAAGCUGGGCUUGUAAAAGGAAGAAGAAAAAAGGCAUUUACCAGCGCAGUCAGACCAAGUCAUGGCAUGAAUGAGGGACCAUGACACAUGCUGGAUUGACAACCCACCAAAGCUCUGUCCUGCUUCCAGGGAAAUCAGUGGAAGUUUUGCCACCAUGUGGACCAAGC